rnacentral:rRNA from 1 species
UACGUAGGGGGCAAGCGUUAUCCGGAUUUACUGGGUGUAAAGGGGGCGCAGACGGCGAUGCAAGCCAGGAGUGAAAGCCCGGGGCCCAACCCCGGGACUGCUCUUGGAACUGCGUGGCUGGAGUGCAAGAGGGGCAGGCGGAAUUCCUGGUGUAGCGGUGAAAUGCGUAGAUAUCAGGAGGAACACCGGUGGCGAAGGCGGCCUGCUGGACUGCAACUGACGUUGAGGCUCGAAAGCGUGGGGAGCAAACAGG